UGGCUCAGGACGAACGCUGGCGGCGUGCCUAACACAUGCAAGUCGAGCGAUGAAGCCUUCGGGGUGGAUUAGCGGCGGACGGGUGAGUAACACGUGGGUAACCUGCCUUAUAGAGGGGGAUAGCCUUCCGAAAGGAAGAUUAAUACCGCAUGAAAUGUUUUUAUCGCAUGGUAGAAACAUCAAAGGAGUAAUCCGCUAUAAGAUGGACCCGCGGCGCAUUAGCUAGUUGGUGAGGUAACGGCCCACCCAAGGCGACGAUGCGUAGCCGACCUGAGAGGGUGAUCGGCCACAUUGGAACUGAGACACGGUCCAGACUCCUACGGGAGGCAGCAGUGGGGAAUAUUGCGCAAUGGGGGAAACCCUGACGCAGCAACGCCGCGUGAAUGAAGAAGGCCUUAGGGUUGUAAAGUUCUGUUUUCUGGGACGAUAAUGACGGUACCAGAGGAGGAAGCCACGGCUAACUACGUGCCAGCCGCCGC
rnacentral:rRNA from 1 species